GGGAAUGUGGUUCAGUGGUAGAGUUCAUGCCUUGCAAGCACAGGGCCCUGGAUUCAAUUCCCAGCAUUACAA
rnacentral:tRNA from 1 species